UGCCAGGCAUGGAUGCCUGGCAAGCGCUGCUGUGCCAUGGAGGGCACAUCAGCGCG
rfam:Pseudomonas sp. StFLB209 DNA, complete genome.